rnacentral:rRNA from 1 species
CUACGGGAUGCUCCAGUGGGGAAUAUUGCACAAUGGAGGAAACUCUGAUGCAGCAACGCCGCGUGGAGGAUGACACUUUUCGGAGCGUAAACUCCUUUUAUAUAGGAAGAAGAUGACGGUACUAUAUGAAUAAGCGCCGGCUAACUCCGUGCCAGCAGCCGCGGUAAUACAGAGGGCGCAAGCGUUACUCGGAAUCACUGGGCGUAAAGAGCGUGUAGGCGGAUUAAAAAGUCAGAAGUGAGAUCCUAUAGCUUAACUAUAGAACUGCUUCUGAAACUCUUAAUCUAGAAUAUGGGAGAGGUAGAUGGAAUUUCUGGUGUAGGGGUAAAAUCCGUAGAGAUCAGAAGGAAUACCGAUUGCGAAGGCGAUCUACUAGAACAUUAUUGACGCUGAGACGCGAAAGCGUGGGGAGCAAACAGGAUUAGAUACCCCGGUAGUC